CCCUUAGAUGUUCUGGGCCGCACGCGUGCUACACUGAGUGGAUCAGCGGGUCAGGUUGCGCGAAAGCGUUUCCUAAUCUUUAAAUCCGCUCGUGAUGGGGAUUGACGGUUGCAAUUUUCUGUCAUGAACGAGGAAUACCUUGUAAGCGCGGGUCAUCAUCCCGCGCUGAAUACGUCCCUGCCCUUUGUACACACCGCCCGUCGCUCCUACCGAUUGAGUGGUCCGGUGAGGCUUUGGGAUCUGAGCGGAAAGAGCGUUUCGAUGUUUCUGCUCGGAAAACUCAGUCGAACCUUAUCAUUUAGAGGAAGGAGAAGUCGUAACA
rnacentral:rRNA from 1 species